AACGAACGCUGGCGGCAGGCCUAACACAUGCAAGUCGAGCGCGAACGGUCACUUCGGUGACUCAGUAGAGCGGCGCACGGGUGAGUAACACGUGAGUGAUCUGCCCUGGAGCUCGGAAUAACCUCCCGAAAGGGUGGCUAAUACCGGAUAAGCUCACAGAGCUACGGCUCAGGGGGAAAAGGAGGGGAUCUUCGGACCUUCCACUUCAGGAUGAGCUCGCGGACCAUUAGAUCGUCGGUGGGGUAACGGCCUACCAAGUCGAAGAUGGUUAGCUGGUCUGAGAGGACGAUCAGCCACACUAGAACUGAGACACGGUCCAGACUCCUACGGGAGGCAGCAGUGGGGAAUCUUGCGCAAUGGGCGAAAGCCUGACGCAGCCAUGCCGCGUGAGCGAAGAAGGCCUUCGGGUCGUAAAGCUCUGUCCAGAGGGACGAAUCCAUCGAGUGCUAAUCAACCCGAUGCUGACGGUACCUCUGAAGAAAGCACCGGCUAACUCCGUGCCAGCAGCCGCGGUAAUACGGAGGGUGCAAGCGUUGUUCGGAAUUACUGGGCGUAAAGAGCGUGUAGGCGGUCUCGUAAGUCGGGUGUGAAAGCCCUGGGCUCAACCCAGGAAUUGCGCUCGAUACUGCGGGACUAGAGUUCGGGAGAGGGACGUGGAAUUCCUGGUGUACAGGUGAAAUUCGUAGAUCUCAGGAGGAACACUCGCGGCGAAGGCGACGUCCUGGACCGAUACUGACGCUGAGACGCGAAAGCGUGGGGAGCAAACCGGAUUAGAUACCCUGGUAGUCCAUGCUGUCAACGAUGGGUACUGGAUGCUG
rnacentral:rRNA from 1 species